rnacentral:rRNA from 1 species
AUUGAACGCUGGCGGAAUGCUUUACACAUGCAAGUCGAACGGCAGCACGGGGCAACCUGGUGGCGAGUGGCGAACGGGUGAGUAAUACAUCGGAACGUGCCCAAUCGUGGGGGAUAACGUAGCGAAAGUUACGCUAAUACCGCAUACGACCUACGGGUGAAAGCAGGGGAUCGCAAGACCUUGCGCCAUUGGAGCGGCCGAUGUCAGAUUAGGUUGUUGGUGGGGUAAAGGCCUACCAAGCCGACGAUCUGUAGCUGGUCUGAGAGGACGACCAGCCACACUGGGACUGAGGCACGGCCCAGACUCCUACGGGAGGCAGCAGUGGGGAAUUUUGGACAAUGGGCGCAAGCCUGAUCCAGCCAUGCCGCGUGCGUGAAGAAGGCCUGGUGUAAGCUCUUCUAGCAGGAACGAAACGGUGGACCGAUUAAUAACUGGCUACUAAUGACGGUACCUGAAGAAGAAGACACCGGCUAACUACGUGCCAGCAGCCGCGG